GCACCCGUAGCUCAGCUGGAUAGAGCGCUGCCCUCCGAAGGCAGAGGUCACAGGUUCGAAUCCUGUUGGGUGCGCCA
rnacentral:tRNA from 1 species